UCUGGGAUAACUUCGGGAAACUGGAGCUAAUACCGGAUACGCCCUUUUGGGGAAAGGUUUACUGUCGAAGGAUCGGCCCGCGUCUGAUUAGCUAGUUGGUGGGGUAACGGCCUACCAAGGCGACGAUCAGUAGCUGGUCUGAGAGGAUGAUCAGCCACACUGGGACUGAGACACGGCCCAGACUCCUACGGGAGGCAGCAGUGGGGGAUAUUGGACAAUGGGCGCAAGCCUGAUCCAGCCAUGCCGCGUGAUUUAUGAAGGCCUUAGGGUUGU
rnacentral:rRNA from 1 species